rnacentral:lncRNA from 1 species
UUAUUAUAAAUUAGGGUAACACUAAUAAUUCCAAGAGUUAUGAGAGUACAUAUAUUCUAUAGAGAUAGAUUUAGGGUUAAGCACAAAGCAUGAUCAUGGUGAUGGUUUGUAUGAAAAAUUUAUAAAUUCGUUUUGUCGCGCUUCCGCUUCGUUUGUGUGAUUUGAUUGCAUGAUCGCGCUAUAUACAACCCUAACAGUUGUUUUAUUCCCUAUAUUAGUUAUGCAAUAAUUCAUCAUUUGGACAAAUUGUGACGCCCCCAAAUCCGGGUUAUCUUUAACUCGAGUUUAGUGCUCACGAUACUAAUAUACCCAUUCAUACUAAAAGAAAAUUGUCUUAUAUUACAUAACAUAAAUCCCAGGUUCUAUAGACCUUUACAUAACUUACGAAUCAAAUAUCAUUACACAACAUAAUACUAACAGUAUUUAUUACAUUUACUACUUAAAUAAGCACAUGUGCUUAAUAAAAGACUAUUCCACAACUUUGCCUUUUCCUUUGUCUUUACCAGAUGGACCAGCAACUUCAUUUUUAACUGAAAACAUUAUAUUUAACGCAAGGGUGAGCAACAAGCUUGCUCAGCAAGGAAAUAAGCAGCUAAAUAUAAUGGAACAAAAAUAUUAUAUCAAUGAGGAUUCAAUAAUAAAUAAUGAACAAGAUACUUCUUUAAAAGUGUUGAGUCUGAAAAAUUAGACUUUAGCAUGCUGUAAGGUCAAAUGACCAGUGAACUCUUUACUAGAAUCGACAGUAAUAAUACUACAAUCCAUGGAUACAUACAAUUUAUAAAAGCUAUUUUAUAUCCUAGACUCGUACUUUAAGGGAUCAGCCUAAAUACCUUACAUUGUGCACAACAUAACAGUCUAAUGACACUUUACAUGUCCUUCGGAAUCAUAUGUCCGGUACAAUAUGCCCCUAUAAAAGGGUUGUUCGUUCACAGCAUUAUUUAAGAAUCCAUACCAUAACAACAAAAUGGCUUGGAAAGCAUUAAAUGAUAACUUCAUGAAUAAUAUCAAUAUAUCUCAACAAUUGUCUAACCGAAGUAAUGGUAUUGACAUACUUUCAAUGUAAACUCAUUCAAGAUAGAAAAAUUGAUAUCUAUUCUUUUGAAGCUGAUUGGAAUAAAAAGGCUUUUUAUCCUUAUAUUAUUCAUAAAUAAGGACAGACAGUUCAGAAAUUAAAGAACCUGUCCACUGCAGAAUAAUUGCUCAAUAAAGAGUAAGAGUUAGAAACUUGUCUCGUUUGUAGACUACUAAUUCAGCUUAAUACGUUCUCACAGAGCCUACAUAAUCAUUUGCAUUUUCAAGCUUAUUAACUAAUUAGCUAAACCACAUAGCUUGUGUAUGAUCACACAUCACAUAAUUUUAGUGGUCAAGUUUGUAGUUAGAUUCCUAUAUUUUAUACAUUUUUUAAAUAUCUCACCCAUGUUGUUCAUAUUAGUCAAUUUUCACUUUGAUGGGGUUCGCCAUACUUGCAACAAGUAAUAGGAAUCAUAUUACAGUUAUUAUUUGCAUUAAUCAAGCAUGUUAGCCAUAUAGUUAAGUCAUAUAUAACGUAGUUUCAGUGGUCAUGGAUAGAUUUCUUAUAUAUAAUACAUUUUUCAAAUAUCUCAUUCAUGUUCUUAUUUUCACCAUUUUUCUCUUUAAUGGUGUCACACAACAUGUUUAUAGCCUACAUCUUAUUAGGAUUUUAACACAUGAGUGUUUUAGUUCUAGCAUACAAAAAUGCUUUUGUAGCUUAUUAAAGGUAUUUCCAAUAUCAUUCUAUGCCUAAUCCUUCACAUUUUAAUUUCAAGGCCAAUUAGCUAAUUAAAACUGUCAUAACAGUUUUCUGUGUUUUGACAAUAAGGAUCUUAAUGAAGUUUAAGUUAUUCUCAGCUUUAACUGAAUUUGGCAAGCCUAAAACUGCAAUAGCAGUUUAUUGAGGCCACUUCUAUUGUUGACUGCUAAUCAGUCACAUAACUUCAUCUUUAUCACAUUAUUCUUCUCAACUUGUAAGCAUACUAUAAAGUAUACAUGUUUACAACACCUACUCAAGUUACAUCAUUUGAUUGCUCUUUUUAUGAAGAUUUCAAUUCUCUACCAAGGUGGUUAGUAGACUGCUUUAGCAGUCAUAUAACAUCAACUGCUGCUGCUCAUAGGCAGCAGUCCCCUUCAUUUUGGCCUGGUUUAGAUUAUAGCUUCCCUUAAAUUUGUUUAUCUUACCAACUGUAGCUAACAGAAAAUCAUAAGGAAUCAAGCCCAGAUAAAAUUUUGGGGUCCUGUUGCUGCCAUUAGGCAGCAACCCUACUUCUCCUCUCCCAUUUUCUAAAAGAGGUUAGUCCUAAAAGUUAGAAAAUCUUUGAACAAGAGCUUGGUUCUUUUAUCUGAAUUAUGUCUAGCAUAUACAAGUAUGUUUAGAAUUUGUACAUGAUGGGUAAGCUUCUUAAUCACAUCACAAAGCCAAAAACUGCCAUAGCAGUUUGGUUGUUCUAAUUUGUUGCUGCCUAUUGGCAGUGGCCCCUUUCUCCUUUACCAACAUACCUAUAUCCCUCUAUACUUUACUAAAAACUUAAUUGGGUUCAUUUUUCAACUGAGAUUGGCAAGUUUGACACUGCCUUGGCAGUUAUUUAUUCGUAACUGCUGCCGCACAUAGGCAGCAGCCCUCCACUUUCAUCUUGGAUAUCACUUCAUGUUUUCUUAACCUUUACUAUGUUCUUAUUGGUACACUCUCUUUGGCAGUGGCUCAGGACUGCAGUCUACAUGCCAACUGCUCCAUAAUCUUGGUUCCCUUGCAAGCCCAGAACAACAGUCCACAGCUUCAGUUUUGCUAAGGUUUUUAGUUGUGUUGUGGCAACCACUACUGUCAUGGACAGCAGUUUUUAAGACCCCAGCCCAGCCCUCAACUUGAUAUAUUUUGUAAACUUUUUGGUUAACCUUGAUAUACUAUGCUUGACCCAUAGAUCUAACUGCUAACACAGUGGUUAGCAGUCAACUGUUAUCACUGCUACUACCUUGUACAGCAGCCACCCUUCCUCAGAUUCUUUUUCUUUCAAGUCUUAGUCUUUAAGCCAAAAACUUAGUUAUACUUGAAUUUUAGAUAUAUUAAUACCUAAAAGUACCUUUAGACUUGCAACACAAUCGUGGUAGUCCCCAUAGACUGACUCAAAUCAAUGUGCAAAGGGGUUGACAUACUAACUUUCUUAAUUCUUUAUUUUGACAUAAGUCUGAAUUCCAUCUCCUCCUAAUAGGCUCAACUUGUAAAUUAUAAGUAUAGGUAAUACAUGAAUAAUUUCCAACCUUGUUUGAGUCUAAUACUUGACUUUUACUUAAGGCAGUCCACUUGGGACUUACGUCGAGCAUGUGAUGUGCACAGUUUCAAAUUACAUAUGUCAUAGACAUUUGCUUGUGUAAGAAAGCCAAUUUUGUCAUCCUUAUUACUCCUCAGCCCAACUUAUCUCCUUGUGCCUAAGUUCAGUCCAUACUAUCAUAGCCAUAGCAUAGCAGUCAAUUUAAUAUAACUACUCAACACCUAUCAUGUUAACAGUCAGUUAAAAUAGCAGCAUAGCAUCCAUAUAGCAGUCUUUGAGUCUAUAACAGAAAAUAGGCAAGAUUUAAUACUAUAUCAUUAUAACAGUCUAUAUAGAGCAUUAUAGACAUGGUUUAAUACCCUUGCAUCAAAACAGUACCAAGGAAUGAGAUCUUUGUAUCUCUAAAGCAUGGACCUCUUACAUAUUAUAUGUUCAUGGUUUAAAACACCUUAUAGUAAGGUUUUCAUGUUUUAGACCAAAACAGUCCCUUUUUGGUACAAGAUAACAUGAUUUGAAAAGCCUUUAGGUACUAAGGUAACAUGAUUAGGCAUAUGGAAAUAAGGACUGCCUAUAAUGAAUAUAUUAGAGGCAAUGCAUGAUUAUCAUAAUAAAAUUCCUAAUAACAGCCCAUAUAGUAGCAUUGCCAUAACACAGUAUUGGAUUUAAGACAGAACAGUCCCUCAUACCUAUUCCAAACUUUUUAGGCAAGGUUUUGACAUUAAAUCACCACAACAGCCAUGAAGUUUACCACCCAAAGGUUUCCACAUCAUGUAUAUGCUAUAUAAUAUAUAUUGAUGGUUUAAAGAGCCUACAUACAAUGUUUUCUACUUUAGUUAAAAACAGUCUUUCAUAGGCUUCACAUUAAUACAAGAAAGCAUGAUUUGACAAUUUUAGUUAUCAAAAUGACAUGAUUAAGCAACAAGUAAACAUAAAUUGGUUAUUUACAUAGUAAUUAUACUAGAAGCAAUUCAUAAAUAUCUUAAGAAAAGCUUCUAAUAUCAGUCAUAGGGGAGCUUACUAUUUCAGUUCAUUAUUACCUACUUUGUCCAAGUGUUUAGCUAUCUUAGAUUGUCAAUUAUUUUGAGACAUGUUAAGGUCAAGCAUAGAGUAUACUCAUAUAAGAAAUUUGGUAUUAGCUUGGACUCUAAAUCAUAGUUAAUAUUCAAAGUUACAAAGUCAGUCCUUAACUUGGCAAUUUAUCAAACACAUAGAGGGCAGUUUAUAUACUUGCACUUAAUACAAAAUUUCUAGCCCACUGCCCCCAGCCGUAUGGCUUAAACAAUACCAAACAUAAGACCAAUCUUAGCAGUCCUACUCACAGCAAUUCACAUAGCAAUUAAAACAGUUAUUUAUGCUACUUAGCCACUAACAGUCUAAUUGCUAACACUUAAAGGAACAUGAGCGACUAGAAAAAGGAUUGGGGGCCUGAAUUGGCUUACCUUGUUAAUUCGAAGGUGACAAGUAGGUUGAGCUGCUCAAUUCCUUUUCCCCCUCUAGCCGAACUCUGCUAAUAUCAGUUGACUCUCUUUUUCUUUCUUACUAUGCUAGCAAAUUGGGCAGUCAGUUGAGGAGUAGAACAUAUGGUUAUAUAGCCGAACUUAGCCUCUUUUACUGUUAAUUGCAUCACCUCCUAGUUGGCCCCUACACAGUCAUUAUUCCUAAUCUAGCUUGUGCAGUCCCUUCACAGCCACCCUAGCAGCAGACUCUACUCACUUGCUAAGCCUUAUCUAAUGUUUUCUUUGUCUGUUGGUUGUCUGCUAGCUAAACUAAUCAAGCUAACCAAGAAUUAACGUAGAAUCUGCAUAAGCUGCUAAUCAACUGCCUAAUGUAACUAUCUCAGUUAACUACCUUCCUAUUUGGGCUGUUACAUGAAGCUUAAGGAAGGCUGGCAAGGAGAUUGGGCUGAGUUGAUUCUUUUUAAUUUGUU